AUUGAACGCUGGCGGCAUGCUUUACACAUGCAAGUCGAACGGCAACGAGGAGAAGCUUGCUUCUCUGUCGGCGAGUGGCGAACGGGUGAGUAUAGCAUCGGAACGUGCCAAGUAGUGGGGGAUAACCAAACGAAAGUUUGGCUAAUACCGCGUAAGCUCCAAGGAGGAAAGUAGGGGACCUAAAUAAGGCCUUACGCUAUUUGAUCGGCCGAUGUCGGAUUAGCUAGUUGGUGGGGUAAUGGCUCACCAAGGCAAUGAUCCGUAGCGGGUCUGAGAGGACGAUCCGCCACACUGGGACUGAGACACGGCCCAGACUCCUACGGGAGGCAGCAGUGGGGAAUUUUGGACAAUGGGGGAAACCCUGAUCCAGCCAUGCCGCGUGUAUGAAGAAGGCCUUAGGGUUGUAAAGUACUUUUGUUAGGGAAGAUAAGCUAGUUUUUAAUAAAAAUUAGUGAUGACGGUACCUAAAGAAUAAGCACCGGCUAACUACGUG
rnacentral:rRNA from 1 species